rnacentral:tRNA from 1 species
GGGGCAGUAGCUUAGUUGGCAGAGCGUCUGGUUUGCACCCAGAAGGUCAGGGGUUCGACUCCCCUCUGCUCCA